UCACCUGUUUAGUGCCCUUAGGGUCUUUGC
rnacentral:piRNA from 1 species